rnacentral:snRNA from 1 species
AUCCAAGUGCACGGGCGUUUUCCUUCUCCGUGAAGCGAUAAGCUGAGAGAGGAAUUUUGCUAGUUGAAAACUAUACACUGACCACUCCUCGUUGGCUACGGCCGGCGAGGGAAUCUUUGGAACCCUUCCUUUCGAUGCGGAUGAUUUAUUCUCUUUCGUUGCGGGCGGCUCUUUAGGG